GUGCUUUUUCCUUUGAAGUUAAGAAGUGCCCUUGCGUUGCUGGGUCUAUAACGAGAAGAUUUGAGGGCCUUGGCUGUGAUACUGCAGGAGCAAGAUAACUGAUUUGAGUGUGUUAUCGCGGUGCAACUUGUCACAACAAGUGGACCACCCUCUGCAAGAACAGAGCAAGAGGAGGCAAGGAAGAAAAGACACUGUGAUUUUAUUGCUAAAACAACUACUGCUUCCAACUGUAAUGGGAUGCAAUUGUGGGCCGUGUACUGGCAAGUCUACAUAUCAGGUCCAGCCAGAACACAAGGCCUAUUUUUGGUUUUGGUUACAUUCGGCUGUGAACAUUGGCAUGAAGGGCGAGGGGCUCCGUGAUAGAGAGCAUUUUUCUGCUCUUUAUUUAAAUAGGCUCCUUCCCAGAAGAGUAACGACCCAAAAUUUGCAGUUCCAGUAAAAUGCUGUCGGAGGAGUGCUGGGGAAAAAAAGGUAUGUGAUAGAAGUAGAGGUCUGAAAAGUAAAGUAGAGCAGAACUGCAUGCAAACAACAUGAGAUACUGCAGGAACUCCAAGUCUUCUUUCAUUAACUGU
rnacentral:lncRNA from 1 species